AUUGAACGCUGGCGGCAGGCCUAACACAUGCAAGUCGAGCGGAUGAAGGGAGAUUGCUCCUGGAUUCAGCGGCGGACGGGUGAGUAAUGCCUAGGAAUCUGCCUGGUCGUGGGGGAUAACGUCCGGAAACGGGCGCUAAUACCGCAUACGUCCUGAGGGAGAAAGUGGGGGAUCUUCGGACCACACCCUUUCAGAUGAGCCUGGGUCGGAUUAGCUAGUUGGUGGGGUAAAGGCCUACGAAGGCGACGAUCCGUAGCUGGUCUGAGAGGAUGAUCAGUCACACUGGAACUGAGACACGGUCCAGACUCCUACGGGAGGCAGCAGUAGGGAAUAUUGGGCAAUGGGCGAAAGCCUGAUCCAGCCAUGCCGCGUGUGUGAAGAAGGUCUUCGGAUUGUAAAGCACUUUAAGUUGGGAAGAAGGGCAGUAAGAUAAUACCUUGCUGUCUUGACGUUACCAACAGAAUAAGCACCGGCUAACUUCGUG
rnacentral:rRNA from 1 species